rnacentral:rRNA from 1 species
CAGUCGCCACGGUAAUACGGAGGGUGCGAGCGUUAAUCGGAAUUACUGGGCGUAAAGAGUGCGUAGGUGGUUAAUUAAGUUAUCUGUGAAAUUCCUGGGCUUAACCUGGGCAGGUCAGAUAAUACUGGUUAACUCGAGUAUGGGAGAGGGUAGUGGAAUUUCCGGUGUAGCGGUGAAAUGCGUAGAGAUCGGAAGGAACACCAGUGGCGAAGGCGGCUACCUGGCCUAAUACUGACGCUGAGGCGCGAAAGCGUGGGGAGCAAACAGGAUUAGAGACCCCCGUAGUCCCUGUCUCUUAUAA